CAGCGCCGCCACCUCUUUCCCUCUCCCAUCGAUCUCCCUCUCCGCCUCGUCCUUCCACACUGUCGCCUCCGCCACACAUGCAAUACACCAGGGAGGAGCUCCUGCGCCCGAUCCAUGGCCUCUCCCUUCCCCCGUCGCCGUUUCUCUGGAGAUCCGCCCCUCCCGCGCCCUUGCAGACGCGUGCGAGCAGCUGCUGCUGCGGUGGUCGUUGCAGGUCUCCAGCCGCCCAAAGAUUCCUCGGUCGUCGCCGAAGGGAGUCCGUCGAUGGCACCGCCCCUUCCCCGCGCCCGGUCUACUCCAGCCGCCGCCGGCUUCUUCGCUGCUGCACCUCCGGCCAUCCCCAUCGUCCGUAGGCCUCCUCGCCCGGUGCUCAUGCCCUUCUUCCCGGCUAUGCCUCCUGCACGAUGCCUCCCAUGCUCGCUGCUGCAAGCUUUGCCUUACCUCCAUCACCUCCAUGACUGUCCCUCUUCGUUGUUCCGCCAAGACCACCUAGUAGUUGUUGGACAAGGAGCAUCAAGACCGAGACCGCCCCGAACCACGUCAUCUCGCCGGAUCGUAAGACCAUCUCGGUUUUUGCAAGUACCUCUACGCCUGAAGACGUUGGAUGCGCCGAGUUCCACUAUGACAUGCACCACUACUAUCGCUGAGGGUUUCGUCAAGUUCAACUACAUCGGCCAUCCACGGAAACUCGUGCGACUAUGACCGUGAACAACUACCAUCGACCCCAAGUUACUGGGAUGCGUCAAGUCCCUUUUCGAGAUGUGUACCACUACUCCACUACCGUCGCGAGAACGUCUACUUCCCUCUAAUAACUCGAUCCACCCCAAAAUGCAUGCUUCGAAGGUAUAAUUGCCGAGGACGACCGCCAUGAACGAA